rnacentral:misc_RNA from 1 species
CGGAGUUUGGCAACUGGUAUGAGGCUGACUAUGUAAUUUUCCAAAGCAAAUACUAAUAUUCUUGUGUGUGUGUGUUGUGAAAAAAUUUUGUUCAUGGAAUAUGCUGAUUCAUGAACGCUUAAUGAUUAUAUUAAUAAAAGAAUGGUUGAAAGUUAGGAACAAGCUCAAUGUUCCCUCUGAAGAUCCCAAUGUCGAUUUUGGAUGUUUCUUGACUGCGGAACUAACUAUCCAAUUAGAAAACAAUAUAUAUCUUUGAAAGUUAAUAAAAUACUUUCCCCCUAUUUUCAUGUGAUUUUCCAUUAAACUUCCAGUGCUGAAGUUAUAGCAUAUUCCCAAAAACUUCCAAGUAAUCUUAGGAUUUGCAAUUCCAUCAUUGAUCAACAUCAUAUUGUGGAGUCAUGUCAUAUUCAUUUGAUGAAUCUACCCACUGCCUUGCUAAUAAGAGGGACAUUCUUUUAAUUGCUUACUGUGCUUUGCUGUUAUGCUAACAGCUUGUGCAGAUGGAGUGGUCAGG